GUGAAUCAUCGAAUCUUUGAACGCACUUUGCACCUCGUGGCUCUUGUCACGAGGUAUACUUGUUUGAGUAUCCGUAACCAUCUCACCUCUCCCUCGGGGCGGUGGACGCUGAGAUUCGAUGAGCACUAGCGAGUCGUCUCUUGAAAACUAUGGCCCGUCUGUGGUAGGUCUCCGUUGGGACCUGACCGACCAUUUGGAUAACGUCCUACAAUUGUCGUGUCAGCGUCCAUAUCAGCAUUGACUGUCCUUGGCCACCCUGAUUCAAGUGGGCACCAGUAACAUGGUGCCUGUGCGAUCAAC
rnacentral:misc_RNA from 1 species